rnacentral:misc_RNA from 1 species
AACUCUCAAACUACAUCUUUAUUGAUGUUCAAGUUUGGAUUUGGACGUUGCUGGACGCGAGUUCGGCUCGUCUCGAAUGCAUUAGCUGUAGAUUUCGAUUUCAGUUAAACCGUGUGAUAAUACAUCAACGCGGGCAGCCGUCAAGGCGCUGGAUCGUUAGUUCGAAGGCUUCUAAUCGUCCUUUAGGACCGCCUUAACUGGUGUUUCAUUUCAC